rnacentral:misc_RNA from 1 species
UUAAGUUCAGCGGGUAGUCCUACCUGAUUUGAGGUCAAGCAUUCAAAAAAUUGUCACUGAAGACGAUUAGAAGCUGAACACAGAGAGCAAUCCCCUCGCUAGUGUAGAUAAUUUAUCACACUUGUGGCAGAUCGCAAACAGUUCUGCUAAUGCAUUUCAGAGGAGCUGACCACAUCAAGCGGCCAGCAAGCCUCCACAGU